ACGAGCGGCGGACGGGUGAGUAAUGUAUGGGGAUCUGCCCGAUAGAGGGGGAUAACUACUGGAAACGGUGGCUAAUACCGCAUAAUGUCUACGGACCAAAGCAGGGGCUCUUCGGACCUUGCACUAUCGGAUGAACCCAUAUGGGAUUAGCUAGUAGGUGGGGUAAAGGCUCACCUAGGCGACGAUCUCUAGCUGGUCUGAGAGGAUGAUCAGCCACACUGGGACUGAGACACGGCCCAGACUCCUACGGGAGGCAGCAGUGGGGAAUAUUGCACAAUGGGCGCAAGCCUGAUGCAGCCAUGCCGCGUGUAUGAAGAAGGCCUUAGGGUUGUAAAGUACUUUCAGCGGGGAGGAAGGUGAUAAGGUUAAUACCCUU
rnacentral:rRNA from 1 species